GAUGGAUAGCUGGCCACUGGAAAUUUGUCGUUUGACCACUCGAGACCCCUCCAGACCACAGGUAACUAAUGUUUGGGGGUGCUCUAUAACCUAUUGCGUUUGUAUGUGCUUGAGAUUAAAUAAAGCAGAGACUCUGAGAAAAGGAAAAGAAUUUGAGA